CAGCGCGACCCCAGGNNAGGCGGGGCUACCCGCUGAGUUUAAG
rnacentral:rRNA from 1 species